GGCUGGGACGAACUGUGCAGCAGCAAGGCAGAGCUCACAGCAGCUGCACCACGGCAAAAGUGUAGGAAGCAAAAUGUUCCAGGAAGCAGGAGCGGCACCGAGGUGCCCAGCACAGGCACAGGCGAGCGGGGAUACUCGGAAAAGGACAAUUACAUCAGAACAUGAGUUUGGUUUCUGAGUGCGCUGCGGAGCUGGGAAGGAUCAUCCCCCCGGGGCCGGGCUGGUUCACGGCUGGGUCCUGCGGGUCUGAGCGGUGAAACAGGACUGGAAGGGCCAUUUGUGUCCUUCCCACCCGGCACAUGCACCCCUGCAGCUGUCCCAGCCACGGAGAGGGGCACAUCCCACAUCAGCUCCUCAUCAGAUGCUUCACAUCCCACCACGGGCUCAGCCCCACUGCAGCAGCACACAGCAUUCCCAGGCUCUGAGCAACCCCGCUCAUGGAACCGAGCCCGGCUGUCCUGGCUCCCCAAUUCCUGCUUUUCUCCCCCAGGACUGUUCCCUGGCCAGGGCCCCUCUCCCUGGGGGCUGUACUGCAAGCUGGUGUCCAGCUCCUUAUCCUGCUUCCACAGAACCAGCGUGGGCUGUGCAUUUCCCAGCAGCUGCUGGUGAGCAACGGGACUUGUGGGACCCCAAAUCCUGCCCUGGCUGCUCCACUGGGAUUGGAAAGGGAGUGAAUGGCCAGAGGAAGAGGGGAGCAGCUGGGUAGGGAAGGGAGGCUUUAGCUAUAGUUCUUGCUUGUCCCCCUGAGGAAAAGCAUCUGAUUAAAUCAAGAUGCAGCAUCCAGGGUUGCUAUUCAUUCCCUAUAUUAUUAGCUUGUCUCAUUUUAUUAAAUCUCUUUAAGGCUUUUCAGAAGAAGCACAUAAUUCCCAAAAUAUAAUUUUUCCCAGAUGAGAUAUGAUGCAGAAGCUGCUUCUUCUCUGGGGACUGGGGGGUGGCUUUAUUUGUUUCCCUCCCCCACCCCUUGCUUUUUUAGCAACACUUUUCAUGUCUCUUGGUUCCUUUUAGCACUUGGGAUUUGAUUAACAGAGAAUCUGAAAGCCUGAGAUGUCCCAAAUCCCCAGUUCCUGGAGUUAUCCAGGCAAGGAGUGGCAAGAGGUCCCUCGAGACACCAUCCCUGUGCUCAGCACGAUGCAGCUCUGAGCCAGGAGCAUCCUGGAAAUCCUCUGCUCCCAGUUUCCACCUCCUUUCAUCCCAUCCUUUUGCCCACAGGUCAUGCAACAACCUGCCAGCAUGAACAAAGGUGUUUCCAUGUCCUGGAUGUGUCCUCCCACUCCAGCACCUUCUGCUCCCUUCCAAGGAGCAGAGUUUCCUUCAGCUUCUCUGGGAUUAGAGGGAAAUGUCACCUGUAAGCAGAGAGAGGCACCAGCUGGGCUGGGAAUACGAAGCACAGGGGAGAGGGAGGUUUGCUGACCCCAGUGGAUGCAUUGCUGCGGAUUUCAGGCAGGUUCCCAUGGAAAUAGCGAUGCUUGGCAGGGCUGGCAGGACAGAAAUGAGAGCCCAGGAGGAGGCAGGGAGCCGGGUGGGCAGUGCCAGGCAGGGGCUGGCAGAGGAAGGAGCAGUGCUGAGGACUCGGAGCCCGGAGAUGUUUCCUGCCAGCUCCCACAUCUGCUCCUGAGGGUCUGCAGGGGCUGAGGCCGGAGCAGGGGUGGAGAGGCUGGAAUUUGGGGAGUUGAGCCGGACAAAGGCUGAGCCCGUGGCCAAAUCCAGGAGCCUGGAGGCUCCCAGCCCAGCAGGCAGAGCCUGGCCCUGAUGUCUUCCUGGGGCUCUGAUGGCUCUGAGCCCUCCUGCGCCCCUGACUGGGAAAGGAGCUGUGCUCCAUAAACAGCUCCUCCCGAAGAAAAUGCAACAUGGAAAAAGCAGCACAUUCCUACCAUUUUUUUUCCCCUUUGAAACAGGAUCCAAGGAGGAUACGGCUCACCGGGCUGUCUCGGGGUGGAUUUGGAGUGUGAAAAUUAAAGAAAACAGCCUGGUAACUUGUCCUCUGCCUCAUGGCGGGGGCUCCGUGCGUAAGGGCCCCCGGAGUGAGGCUGGAAAUGGGCUGGGUUGGCUUGGAUGGAGCCUUCUCCACCCUGUCCCUGAGGGGGGUGAUGCCUGGGGCAGGGGGACAAUGGCCUUGGGGUGCUGCUGCUGCUCUCUCAGCACUGGGGGAGAUUUCAAAGCAUUCCCUGGACACCAGUGGGUUGGGAACUGCCUGUGUCCCAGAUCCCUGAGCAUGGACCCGCCAGCAGAGCCCAUGCAGCUCAGCCCUGGCAUCCCCAUCCUGCCCUAGGAAUUUGUUUGGGCUCCAGCACUGGGGGUUUCCCCCAUGGGAAUAGUUUCCCACCAGAGUGUUCUCCCCAUUGCUUUGUGAGCAUUUAAAGUCCAGAUUGUUUUCCCUAUACAGCAGGGAUACAACAGGCUGGUUUAUUCCCCUAUAAAUCUAAAUUCUGUCACGUCCCCUGUCCACCUUCUUUGGAUUAAGGGAUCCCAAAUAAAGCAGUGCCCAAACUGCCCCCAAACCUCAAAGUUCAUCUUUGCUUUUACAUCAAAUCCCAACCACUGGCAAAAAAGGUUCUGCCUCAGAGUUGGGAUGGGUUUGGAGCCCUCACCAGAGCCAUGAGCCCCUCAUCUCCUGCCACCUUCCCAACCAGCCCGAGUGCAGACUCAGCACCAGGAGCGGGGUGGGAACGGUGAAUUCCCAGUGCUGCCAGUGCCACAUGUGCCACCCUGAUUGUGCCACGUGUUCGUUCUGUGCUUGUUUGCCACGGUGUUUAUUCUGUGUUUGUUUGCCACCCGAUGGCCAUCCCUGCCCUGGGGCAAGGCAGAGCAGCUUCCCUGGCAAAAGCAAACAGGGGCACAGGGUUACAGGCGGUCACAACGGAGAGAAAGGACUUUGGGAAUGUGUCCCUGCUCCUGGAUGUCACCACCAUCAGGGAAAGGACCACAGGAUGCAGCCUCCACCUCCUGAAGCGUUCCUGGAUGAAGCAUCCCGUGGAGCUGACCCCUCAUCCCCACUGCUGGGGUGUUUAUUGAUCCUCUCAUCCCAAGGAAUUGCCACGUGCAGCUCCAUGGAAGGGAGAUGGGUGUGGGGGAGCCACGCAAGCGACCAUGAGGAGAAAUCCUCCAUGAGGGUGGGCACAGAGCUUUUCUGAUGGGAUGGGGAGAGCUGAGGCAGCACAGAGUGAUGCCCUGGGUGACCCAGCUGUCCCUGCCAGGUAGGAGUUGACAUUUAACUAGUUUCUCCUUUCCUGGUGUUUGCUCUGGAGAAAUAUCCCAAACUUCAAAGGAAGUGUUAUCUGCGGUGUUAGCACACGGCAUCACGUGAAGCAAUUCCCAAGGCCACAAACAACCUCCCAGCCAAGCUCCAGUGGGCCCAGAAAGCCCCAUGCUGGAUUUUGAAGGCAUGAAGGUAUGAAAAUGGCCCCAUGACCCCAUUUCCAGGGACUCCAUUUGGUCUUUGACAUCUUUGCAUGAGCUGGAUGCUCCUGCCUGUGGCACUGCAGAGCUGGGGCUGCAUCCAGCUGGUGCUGGGGGUCCCACAGUGCAGCUCUGUCCUCUGGAAGCAGCAGGACUCAUGUUCUGAUCCUGGCCACGAGAUCCACCCUGCAUCCAUGCAGGAUGUGUCCCAGAUGCAGCCGGGAAGAGGGAAAAGAGCUGUGACAGCACCAGCACUUCGUGCUCAGCCUGAAGGUUUCACCCCCUCCCUGUGUAACUUCCAAUUCUUGGAAAUAUUAGGCAAUUGGAGAGGAAUCACAUUUUUUUUUCCUUAUAACCAAGGAGAGUCCCCUAAUUUAUUGUUGCUAAAUACCAUAAAACAACAUAAAUAAUGGUGUCUCUGUGUUUCCCUCCCUGCAGCCCCAGAGAGCAGCACAGCAACACCUGGGACUGGCCCUGGCCAAGGCCUGCCCCUGCCCCAGGGAGAAAGGUGGGCUCAGAGCCCAUGAAAUGGGCUGAAACAUCAACUUCCAGCUCCUCACCUUCCCUCUUCUAAACAGAGCAGGGGCCUCUGAAACAUCAAACUCCAACUUUAUGGCAGCCAAAGCCAUUUGUGUGAAGGCAGAGAUGUUUAAUCCAUGCUGGCUGCUGUGGGAAGAGCUACAAACACCAGGGGUGUGUCUGGCAUAGCCCCCAAAAAAACCCAUGUGCUGGAAAUGGCAGAUCAAGGGGGAAGGAGUGUGUGAAGGUCCCAGCACAGCACCAAAUCCCUGUGCUGAUGGGGUGCUGUGGGCAUGGGAUGGGAAGCAGCUCCACCACUGGGGUUUGUGGUGACAGACACACAUUCCAGGAGUCUGGUAUUGGCUGGGGAGGGGAAUUGGGGUAUUGGCCUUGCAGAAGGGACUGGGAAAGGCACACACGGUCCUCAGAAUCAGACAGCACAAAUACAGCCCUCGCUGCGCUCUCAUUAGGAAUAAUUCUUCCCGUAUGAGCACGUGCUUCUUCAGCAAAUACUGAUUUCACUUAUCAACAAAUCCAAGUUUAUUGACAUCAGAGACUUUGAGCCAGGACUGGCAACUCUGACAUAAAUUGUCUGAAUAAUGCAAUGUAUCCUCUCCUCGAUGGUUGCUAUGGGUACUGGGCCAGUUUAGCCUCCCUCUAUAAACAUUAGCUGUGAAGGGAAUGUGGAAACUUAUCUAAAAAUAAAAUACUAUGCCCAAAUCUUUGAGAGGAAGGUGGUUGAGAUGGCAAUAAAAAAAUAAAUCUAUGUGUAAUGGUUCUGAAGUGAUGAAACACAAACACAGCAUUUGUGAGCCCUUCCGGAGGAAAUGGAGUCUGGACUGAAAAGAGACCAACACUUUUAAUUCUGCUGAGUGGGUUAAUUACAAGGUGGGAAAGCAAAAGGAAAUGGAACUGUUUCAUGGAGGUGACACUGAGAAGAGGGAGAACCCUCUGUGGAGGGGACAGUGUGAUGCUGAGAUGUGGUGCCACGUUCCAGUGGAGCUGGCAGCAGCACAGCUCCAGCUCCAGCACCUGCUCCUCUGCUCAUUCACACUUUAUUUCUCAAACCGUUCUG
ensembl:lncRNA